rnacentral:lncRNA from 1 species
CUUCUUAAAUGCAAUUUCCAAAUGCAUAAUUGAAUAUAUGAAUUUUGGCGGAUAUCACACAUCAUAACUGUAUGUUAAUUAAUGUAACAAAUGUUGCCUGGCAAAUGCAUUUUUAGCCAGUCUGGGGCAUUUGGUUUUCAAAAAUAUUUUGGGGAGCAUUGUCUCCUUUACAGCUGCUCUUUGUGUCGAGGAUUCUCCCCAUGAAGAGUUGCUCAUUUGAGGACAACAUUCCAUUCCUUUUGUCUCGUGUAUCAAUAUCACAAAAGUUCUCUGCUUUCCAUAUUUUCACAUUGGCAUAAUUCUGUGCAUUGUAAAUCCGCUUUCCAUAGCGGGAUUUUGAGGUCGGCACCUCUCCCCUGAAAUAGUUUUGCACCUCCCCUGAGAAUUUUUGCACCUCUCCUGAAACGUCAUAUGCACCUCCCCUUGAAGUUUCAAUGAUAGAUGAAACUAAAAAUUUGACAUUUUUUGGUUGUUCAGGGUCUACACUUGGUAAGAAAGUUUUCCUUUAAAAUUGAAACAGUGAUAACCAUUCAUCUCUAUCAAGUACCCUUUUAAUAAUCUAUCAAGUACACCAGAUUGGCUAAAAAUGAAUAUCCCAUGCAACAUUUGUUAUGUCACUCUAUAAUCUAUACAUUUAUGCACUAUCACACUAUGAAUGAAGAUGGAUGCACUUAUAGUCGCAUUUUUGAGCUUAUUCCUACAAAUUUCCCUCUGCAUUUCUCCUUUAGUCUAAAUUUUGGUCCCGUGGUCUGACACUUUUUCCACCCCCUGUACAUGGGAGACCCAAAGACCUGCUCCAUCUGGAGUUGACAGCAUCUUUAUAGAAUGGUGUGCUCGAGUGAGCAGCUGCUCAUGGGAAGAAAUCUCAACACAAAGAGCAGCUAUGAAAGAGACAAUGCCCAGAAUAUUUUGAAAAAAUCAAGUGCCCCAGAUUGGCUAAAAAUGAAUAUCCCAUGCAACAUUUGUUAUGUCAUAUGUUAUAUGUUAUAGUUAUAGUUGCAUUUUUGAGCUUAUUCCUACAGAACAGGUAACAUUCUUUCUAUUGGUUACAAUUUCCCCUCUGAAAUUCUCCUUUUGUCUAAAUUUUUGGUCCUGAGGUCUGAUACUUUUUCCAACGCCUGUACAUGGCCCACAUGGGGGACUCAGGGGCCUGCUCCAGAGCACACAGCAUCUUUAUAAAAUUUGUUAAGUUGUGAAAUUGUGAAUGCAA